rnacentral:rRNA from 1 species
GACAGAGGGUGCAAACGUUGUUCGGAAUUACUGGGCGUAAAGCGCGUGUAGGCUGCUUCGCAAGUCGGGUGUGAAAGCCCUGGGCUCAACCUAGGAAGUGCACUCGAAACUGCGGAGCUGGAGUCUUGGAGAGGAAGGCGGAAUUCUCGGUGUAGAGGUGAAAUGCGUAGAUAUCCGGAGGAACACCGGUGGCGAAGGCGGCUUCCUGGACCGACACUGACGCUGAGGCGCGAAAGCUAGGGGAGCAAACGGG